GGAGCUGAUCUUGGAAGCUUGAGUCCAAGAUCGGUUGCUGGCACACUUUCGGAGUUCCUCAAGCUCCUUCAUAAAGUCAGCCUUUUUCCAGGUGUAGUCCAUGAAGCCCUUUUUGUGGAGGUCCCGAAAGUGAGCAGCCUCCGCGGUGACUUUCGAAUGGCUCUUCCUCAGUUGGUGAAAUUCGUCAUCCAGCUUCUUAGAUUUUUUCGUCAGGCGACGGACUUUCCUUCUCAGGUCCCGGACCAUCAACUUCAGAGGAAUCCCCUGUGGUAGGGGGAGAGCUUCGGCGGAGCACUAUCGUUGGAA
rnacentral:lncRNA from 1 species